GUGGUAAUGCCGGAUGCUCCAUCACACCGCAUGGUGUGUUGGGAAAGCCUUUGCGGCAUGGGAUGGGGUCGCGUCCUAUCAGCUUGAUGGCGGGGUAACGGCCCACCAUGGCUUCGACGGGUAGCCGGCCUGAGAGGGCGACCGGCCACAUUGGGACUGAGAUACGGCCCAGACUCCUACGGGAGGCAGCAGUGGGGAAUAUUGCACAAUGGGCGCAAGCCUGAUGCAGCGACGCCGCGUGAGGGAUGGAGGCCUUCGGGUUGUAAACCUCUUUUGUUAGGGAGCAAGGCACUUUGUGUUGAGUGUACCUUUCGAAUAAGCACCGGCUAACUACGUGCCAGCAGCCGCGGUAAUACGUAGGGUGCAAGCGUUAUCCGGAAUUAUUGGGCGUAAAGGGCUCGUAGGCGGUUCGUCGCGUCCGGUGUGAAAGUCCAUCGCUUAACGGUGGAUCCGCGCCGGGUACGGGCGGGCUUGAGUGCGGUAGGGGAGACUGGAAUUCCCGGUGUAACGGUGGAAUGUGUAGAUAUCGGAAAGAAC
rnacentral:rRNA from 1 species